GGGGGUGACUGGUUUCGACAGAUGUCGGUCGGUCUCGAGAGAGCGAGCCGAGUACACCUGGUCAUCUCGCAAAACUGUCCAGGUGACCUUAUAGGUGCCGAAGACAACUUCGCCCUGGCAGCCUAACUAGGUUGCCUGUCCGCCCGAUCUCGCCUGGAGUGAGGGGCCGGACAUCGUGAACCAGGCUCACCGCGUGGUCGCCGUCACCGGCCAUGCGGAACAUCUUUCGUGACGUACGGUCGUCCAGCCGCUUGGUUCCGGAGCCGGACGACCCGACAAUCCGCCGGAACCUACGCUCGUAGCGCUCUCGAGAACGAGGCAUCUGGACCGGGGUUCGAUUCCCCGCACCUCCACGU
rnacentral:tmRNA from 1 species